UACGUAGGGUGCGAGCGUUGUCCGGAAUUAUUGGGCGUAAAGAGCUCGUAGGCGGUUUGUCACGUCUGCUGUGAAAACUGGAGGCUCAACCUCCAGCCUGCAGUGGGUACGGGCAGACUAGAGUGCGGUAGGGGAGAUUGGAAUUCCUGGUGUAGCGGUGAAAUGCGCAGAUAUCAGGAGGAACACCGGUGGCGAAGGCGGGUCUCUGGGCCGAUACUGACGCUGAGGAGCGAAAGCGUGGGGAGCGAACAGG
rnacentral:rRNA from 1 species